rnacentral:rRNA from 1 species
UACGCAGGGGGCUAGCGUUGUUCGGAUUUACUGGGCGUAAAGCGCACGUAGGCGGAUCGUUAAGUCGGGGGUGAAAUCCUGGAGCUCAACUCCAGAACUGCCUUCGAUACUGGCGAUCUUGAGUCCGGAAGAGGUGAGUGGAACUCCUAGUGUAGAGGUGGAAUUCGAAGAUAUUAGGAAGAACACCAGUGGCGAAGGCGGCUCACUGGUCCGGUACUGACGCUGAGGUGCGAAAGCGUGGGGAGCAAACAGG